rnacentral:lncRNA from 1 species
UUACACAAAGGCAAUACAUGAAUUUGAGAAUUAUUUUUUCCUGACAAUUACUGGCUGUGUGAUAUUUGGCAAGUUACUUCUCUGAGCUUUACUUCCUCAUCUGCAACCUAGGAAUUAACAAUACCAAUUACAAAUCAUUGUGUGAGAAGAAAAUACAACAACAUAGAGCAAGUAUUGUGGUUGGCACGUAAUGAGAAAAAGCAAGCAUGUGGUAACUGGAGGAUCAUGAGCUCUGGGGUCAAAAAGGCAUUGGUGGCUCACGCCUGUAAACCCAGCACUUUAGAAGGCCAAGGUGGCAGGACAGCUUGAGCCCAGGAGCUUGAGACCAGCC